UCUUCUCUCUCUCUCUCUCUCUCUCUCUUCUCUCUACAUUUUCUUCUCUCGUCAUUGCGGCCGCCUCCUCCUUCCCAUCAUCUUUAUCUCUGUUUCUUUCUCAAGAAAUUCAGCACCCAUCCCUCUCUUUUACUCACAAUUAAUUGUUUCUUCUAUUUUUUUUCUUCUUCCUUCUCUCUCUCUCUUCCUUUUCUAAUUUUUUUUUCUUCUUUUCCACCUUUUUUCUUCAUCCACCACACAUCUGUUCGGCAAUCCACGAUCAAACCCGUCGGAUUCCGGCAACCCACGGCCAGAUCCGUCAAAUUCCGGCCACCCCCGACGAACUCCGGCCAAAUCCCGCCACCAACAGCUUCCCGCACAACGUUUUGUAUGAAAACCCGGGUCAUUGACCGGUUUUCGGGUUCAUCGAUUUCAGCCGGUCAGAGGGGUUUUUUGACAUUUGACUCGACGCCGGCACUACCAUAAAUUAAUACCGUGGACACUGCCAACAAGCACCAGAAUACAUCCACAAAACGCCCGGUGAAAAGGGUCUCGUGUAAAUUUUGUUCGAGUUCAAAUUUGAGGGCUCAAUGCAGCAGCGGUCUGAUCGAAACCAGCUUUCUGCAUCAACAAGCUCGAGCACGUAAAUGAGAAGGAUAUUGAUCUCCAACAUAGUUACAGAAGGAAUAGCUUUUUUAACUUGUAUCGAAUUGAUAAAUUAGGUGGCUUCCUUCAAUUUUAAUGCAAAACUCAUUUGAGUUUUCUUUCGGUCUAUGUAUUAUACAUUUUGACUAUUGUGGAAUCAUAUGUGAAUUUGGUGUUCUAAGAAUUUUCUGUGAGAAUUUAUUUGGAAUCUUCUACUUUUUGUUAGUUUUGUAGUCGAUUUUGUGUUGAUUAUCAAGAAUUUUGAAGUUGAA